UACGAAGGGGGCUAGCGUUGUUCGGAAUUACUGGGCGUAAAGCGUGCGUAGGCGGAUUGUUAAGUGAGGGGUGAAAUCCCGAGGCUCAACCUCGGAACUGCCUUUCAUACUGGCAAUCUUGAGUCCGGGAGAGGUGAGUGGAACUGCGAGUGUAGAGGUGAAAUUCGUAGAUAUUCGCAAGAACACCAGUGGCGAAGGCGGCUCACUGGCCCGAUACUGACGCUGAGGCACGAAAGCGUGGGGAGCAAACAGG
rnacentral:rRNA from 1 species